AUUGAACGCUGGCGGCAGGCCUAACACAUGCAAGUCGAACGAGUGGCGGACGGGUGAGUAAUGUCUGGGAAACUGCCUGAUGGAGGGGGAUAACUACUGGAAACGGUAGCUAAUACCGCAUACUAUAGGAGCGGCCGAUGUCUGAUUAGCUAGUUGGUGGGGUAAAGGCCUACCAAGGCGACGAUCAGUAGCUGGUCUGAGAGGACGAUCAGCCACACUGGGACUGAGACACGGCCCAGACUCCUACGGGAGGCAGCAGUGGGGAAUUUUGGACAAUGGGGGCAACCCUGAUCCAGCCAUGCCGCGUGUGUGAAGAAGGCCUUCGGGUUGUAAAGCACUUUUGUCCGGGAAGCGGUACCGGAAGAAUAAGGACCGGCUAACUACGUGCCAGCAGCCGCGGUAAUAC
rnacentral:rRNA from 1 species